CACACACACACACACACACACACACACCAUGACGGGCGGCGGCAAGCGGCGUAAACCAAGCGGAACUCCACGUACACACGGCCAUGUAAGCAUGGCCGCAUGUCGCCGCGGUCACACUCGGCCCCUCCAGUUGUCACCGCAGCUGUGUUGGCACCAACCUUUCUGCGCUCGACAGCCUUCCGUGGUGAGAAUGAUGAGAAUCGACAGGACGAGAACCCCGGCCCCUGUCGGUCCCCUGCCCACCAUUACCGCUCUGCCCAUAGCAGCCUGCAGUCUGAAUGCAUAAUGCUCGCUUCUGGACCGGCUCAGGCACCGCUUCAACCUGUACCGAGGGAGGGAGGUCGGGGAGGCAAACACUAAACUCCUCGAGAGCGUGUCCGCGUGUGGUUCCCUCGCGAGGAUAUCUUUCCGCUUGUCGUUUUAACAAUCCAGUGGUUAGCGACACUCUCACUAUGGAGGUAACUGCUCCACACACACAUACACACACACACACACAUACACACACACACACACACACACACACACACACACACACACACACAUCCAAGCUGUGGAGCUACUUCCUCCAAUGAAGCUCCUCCUCCUGUAUCUGGAACUGGGCAAUACCCGAGUCCCCCAAGUGGGGGGAUCUGAGAUCUGAGAGUAAAUGUUUUUCCCAAAAUUAAAUUAUAAUAAGUAAUAUUUUUAUAAUAAGUUGUAAUAUUACAGAACUAAAAUACAUUUUAGAUAAUAAAUGUAUAGAAGGCUAUUGCAUGAGAAAGGUUGUUGGUCCCCUCAUGUUUGAGUCUAUUUCUUUUCUCAUUUAAUUUCACUGUUCUGAAUUAUCUAUAAUAAUUAGGUUCUUUCUGAUCAAACAAUAACUUCAGGGCGUCCACGUGGCUUAUUCGGCUAGUAAGAGUUUCUUGUAAUUCAGACUUUUUCAUAAUAUUACACAUUUUUCUCUCAAAAUGUUUUUGACUUUAUCCUCAGAAUGAAAAUCUCAUUCUUCAUCCCUGAUCUAUUCGUAAACUUAGGCAUUUUCACAUUAAGCACUUCUUGUGAAUAUCAGAAGGAAAAUAAAUUAAUUAAUUAAUUAAAUCAAUUACUCACAAUGGAGAAGAUUUGUAUACAGUUGCCCACUUAAGUUUUAAAAGUUAGAGGUUGUCAUUGUGAGGACAGACCUUUUUCAAGACAUUUUGACAUCACAGUAAGAUAAUCACAGGUACAAAUAAUGACAUUAUUGACGGUUCAAUUCCAUGUAGCUGCUUCAGGGUCCUGGUAUUGUGCGUGCUGGCUCACUGUCAUGUUUACUGGGACAUGUUGGAUAGAACAGAGCCAUUGUUGGUGUUAUCAGUAACACCUGUGCUUUUCCUGCUAUGACAUGUCUCUGCAUGUCUGCUGUGAAAAAUGGCCUGUUGUUCCAAUCCUAUUUCACAGUGUUAAAUUAUUGAGCAGUAUUUGCAUGUUGUAAGUGGCGCUGGGUUUUGUGAAUCAAAUGUCAUUAUACAGAAGCAAAUUAUAAAAACUGUAUGUAUAAAUCCAGACAAAAUACAUACCACACACACACACACACACGUCUGUGUUUCUGUUCCUUCUCUCUUCUUUUUUCAUUCUCUUUUCGUACUGUAUAUGUUUAAGCUCAUCAUUUUUUUUUAAUGAAAUAAGAUACACCCUUACUGAUUGGAGGAUUUCACAUAGUAUAUAUAUUAUGAACAAUGACAAAUAAUAUAACGACACACAUGCUGCUUGUAAACUGAAAAACUGAAUCCAAAUGUUGCACCCUCAUUUGUACAUUACACCACUAUUUCUUUUUUUAAUCUUUUAUUUUAUUCUAUUUUAUUUUAGUAUGUAUAUGAUAUUUCCUGUGUAUGUUUAUUUAAUGUAAUUUAUAAAGACAUUAAAUAAAUACUGUUUGCCUGCCAGCAAAUUUUCCAACUGCAGUCCUUUGGCAGGCAAGAUGUUGUCAAACCAAUUGAUAUUUAUAGUAUAUAAAUAUAUGGUAGGCCUAUAUUGUGUGUGUAUAUAUACAAAGUAUGGUCUUUUUAUUGUACUAUCAGUGUCAUGGCCAUAAACGUUUCCUUCAGGAUUACUUAAUAAAAUCAUAUUUUGUCUUUAAACACUUUGAUGGGUAAAAUGAGUAAAAGCUGUUGUUGUUGUUGUUGUUGUUUUAAAUUACACUCUUCUCUAUAAUGUAUACAAAUAAAAGUAUGUCUUACAAACCAGAAGCACAAUGCUUAAAUAAAUAUGAACUGAUACUUUCCAUCUGUGGUGAAUAAUAGCAGUAAAAUCAACCUAAUCACUGUGUUGUUGGUCAUUCUCUGGGACUUAUGCAAUGAUUCCUGUGUGUUCCUGGAACUCAGCUGUUUUAUAAAGCAUGCAGAUCUAUGUGAGCUCGCUUAACCUUUACACACCCACCAUUUAUUAUUCCAUGUGUUGUCCUUUCAGCUGCGAGCCUCUUUUCUGUACACCCAAAUCUUGCAGAAGAGACUUAUGCCCUUGGAUGUUUUAAAGGCAACCCAAUACAGAGUUAUUAAAGCAGGACUGUAAAGAGAGAAGUUGAUUGGGUCUGAUUAAUGACUGGGUGGCACGCAUCACACAAUACGCCCGGGCUUUAGCUGGACUUGUCAGAAUAGCCAAGCAGUACAUUAAUGGGAAGAAAUAUUCACUUUUUAUUGUUCUAGAAUACACCCCCACUUGGAAAAGAGCUUGGAUGUGAUGCAACUGUCAGAGUAACCAAUAGUAACAUGUAGCAACAAACACAAUUUUUAGCCUGUAGCCUGUGAGUAAUAUGUCGAAUGAUUCAGAGAUUUUUAUUCUGGAUGGAUGGGCCGCUGUGUGUGUGUGUGUGUGUGUGUGUGUGUGUGUGUGUGUGUGUGUGUGUGUGUGUGUGUGUGUGUGUGUGUGUGUGUGUGUGUGUGUGUGUGUGUGUGUGUGUGUGUGUGUGUGUGCGUGCACACGCAUGUAUGAGAGAGACUGUGAUUCUACAUCUCCAUGUGCAGACUGAAGGCAGACGUCCACAAGAGUGUAAGAAAGUGUAAUAUUUGGAGAAGUAGCCAGAUAGUCACUCAUGCUGAAAUUGUCCACAUUCUCUCCCAUACACACCCUCUGCCUCAGUCUUUUGUUCUUACAUACCCUAUCUGUAUUUUUAUGACACAUUUGCACGAGGGGAACUCCAGUUUAUUCACAGCGGCAGGCUUGCUUAUCAAAAUGUUCCCCUGAGGGACAUUCUUAUAAGUUCCCUUCAAAGUACAAAAUAGUUAUGCUAUUAUUAUAUAGCUAUAACAUUUUUAACCCUCGUGGUUUGUGGAUGUUGGCUUUACUUCCUCAUUGUUUGGAGUCCCACAGACCUCAAUGUUGUAUGUGUAAACAACAAAAUAAAAAAUUUUCUUUUGUUCAAAUG